ACUCUUGUUCAAAAUUCUCGGUCACUCGACCAUGCGCUUAUCUCGGGAAAGGUAAAUUGUGCUUGUAUCGUUAGAUCUAUCACUCUUGUCGUAUUACUCGGUAGUGAGGCUCGUGUCGUAAUUUAUGCUUGUUAAACUCACUCGCUUCGUGAUAAUAUUUCAUUUUAGUCGUCGCGUUUACUUUUCGGCGAAGCAUUCCGAAUCGUGAUGAAUCCGUACACGACCGCAUUCAAAUCCUUCCUGAAUUUUAUUCAAUUCAAAGUUCUUUAUCGCCAUGUUGUGAUUCGAGUACCUUCGAACUCGACAAGAAUGCGAGCGUUUUCAAGAGAGCAAAUUUUCGGUUACAAGAGCGUGUAUCUCAGAUUGACGAAGCGGCACGUAAUCAUUCGUAAAGUUCAAUCAGUGUGCAAGAACUUGUGAACAUUCUCAACCCGUUGCAAACAUUCUUUCAACGUCCCGUUGUGGACAUUCUCUCAUCACGUGGUCGCUCAAUUUGUACGAAGAACUACGUAGAAUGCGAUGAUUGGCGAACAACUAUUCUACAGUGACGAAGAGCGUCUGUUCCGUUCUACUACUUUUAUCUUCUGGCGUACCACAUGUUAAAUUUAAAGUAAGUACAGUCAAAUUAUUAACUUGUUUUUUUCCACCAUCCCAGUCUCGAGCAUUUGAUAACACUUUUCCUAAGAAACUCAAAAUUUCCUUUUCUGAUACAGAUAUCUCUGCAAUACUUUUAUUAAGUAGUCACAUUUAUAAUAUAAAAAA